UCAGUGUUUACUUCAUGAAUGAGGUCAGUUCCCAGCACAGCUGGGGCUCAGGCGCGGAGACUGGUCAUCAGACCACGUCCAGGUUACAAUUCCACCCUCGGGUAUUAGCCUUAGGGCAGCCAGCUUGCGGCUCAGUUGGUUUAGCCACACCCCUGCAUGUUUCUGGGGUCUGACUCUGUGUCUGCUCCCUGGAGAAGCAGACCCCAGCCUGAUGCAGCCUCCGCAUAAUGAAGUCACAGCCAAGUUUCCCACACACAGUGCUUCCUGCUGCAGCCUGUCUCUUUGGUGUCGCCACACUGUGCUCCUGGCCACCCCCUCAGGAGCUGCAGAACUGCAGGAAACAGGGGUCUCACUCUGUAGUCCUGGCUGGCAGAUAUCUGCUUUCCAAGCGCUAGCAUCAAAGGCGCGUGCCACCCUGCCUGGCCCAGAUUCCUCUGGAUUCCAUUUUAAAAGUACCCAAUCUCCCAGUGACAGCAUUAAUCCAUCCAUGAGGGAGGAACACUCAUAACCUAAUCACUCUUAAAAACCCUACUCUAACUGGAUGUGGUGAGACACUCCUGUAACCCCAGAAUUUAGGAGGUUGAGAAAGGAGGAUUGUGCAUUUAAGGUCAGCGUGGGCCUCGUAGCAAGAUCCUGUCUCAAAACUUGGACUAUCCCACCCUCUGACACUUCGGCAUUGAAGGUCAAAUUUCCAACGCGUGAUUUGGGGGGAUGUGUUUCAAACUCUAGUGAGCCCUAGACAAGGCUUGUGCCUUUGACCUCUUCAGCCUCGUGGCCAUUGUCCUCUGCCAGCUUGCCUAUGUCAAUGCACACAGCCCUGCUGAAGUUUGCACACACCAAACACACACAAACACCCUUCUGUUGGGGCCGUGGCCCAGGCUGCUCCCUGCCCCUGUAGUACUUUGAGGGGUCAUCCACCCAUCUCGUUUCUUGUCCUCAGCACUUACGUGAAUGUUCCCUUACCACAGAGUCCUUCCUCUCGUACUCUCUCCCAGAGAACUUCCUUUUGCUUUGAUCACUAUUUUGAAUCGCGAAUAUUGUUUUUUUCUUUCCCCAUCUGCACCUCCACCACCCGCUUCAUGCCAGCUCGGCCUGGGCAGGGAGUUUCUAUCCUCCCCACUACUUCACAGUUUAAUGCCCAGCACGGCCUGGCACAGCAGCUCCACACACCAGGCACUGGCCUAGACUCUGGGCGCUUCUGCGAGAGGUUUUCAACAGUUGAGGAGUUUGUUCUACUUCAAAGGCCUAAGUUGGUGCAGGCAAGUGAGGCCAUCCGGGGAAACAGGGUGUCCUGGCCCUCUCCGGCCCAUUGAUCCUGCCCCAGGGAAGAAACACAUCUGUGAUGCUGUGCCCUCUCCCCGACUCCUUAACAGAGCUGCUAAGCGGGCGACCAGGUCUGCAGUCUGAGAGGCCCUGCCUGGCCUUUCAUUUAGGACCAGCAAAUUGACUGUUUUGAAGGGAAAAUAUUUCCAGAUCUGAGUGGCUGCAGGGCCAGACUCGGCAUCUAUGAGUCCUUCGUUGUGUGACCUUAGCCGCAUCCAGCUGCUGCCAGCCUGAUUGCAGAAAUGAACUAGAAGCAAAGACAUUGGAAAAAAAAAAUCAAGAGGUCUGAAAUUUGCCCCAUCAAGUCUUUUGAAAGCAAACUGUCCGGCUUUUUAAGGGUUUGAUGUCCUAACAUUCCCAAGUAAGGCUAUAUUUUGAAAAACAAUGGUUGUGAUAUGUGUGUGUGUGUGUGUGUGUGUGUGUGUGUGUGUGUGUGUGUGUGUACACGCACAUUGGAAUGUGAGAGGUUUAGCAUAGUUCUUAGGAAAUCAGCUCUUAAACUCGAAAUUUGAGAUGCGUGGACAAAAUGGGCCACGAGGCUAUGCUUGCCCCAGUGAACUCAUGUGAUGUUGAGACUGCCUGGAAUUGUCUGGAAGUUAAAUGUUAGCCUCUGAAAAAGGCCGUCCUCAGAGAGCAGCUGCUGUUAUUCUAAGUGCACUGUAAGCAACGUUCUAUUUACAGUCCUCACACCUGGUGCUUGAACAUUUCUUGGUUUCCAGUGGGUGCCCUGGAGCCCUGGGCUUCUUUCCCAACAUCAGUCCCCUUUUCCGCGUCCAGGCAGUUUCACUCUGCAUUCUAACUAGAAAGGAAAGACCAUUAUAAAAAAACAGCAAGGCCAGAGCUUUUGCCUCUAUUGCUGAAACUGAUCUCAAGUAAAGACUAGAUGACCCUACGAAGGAGGAUAGGGUUUGGGACAGAGGGGCCAGGAGACUGGACGAGGAGUGUCCCUGUUGUCAUAUCAGAGAGAAAGCCAGAUACACUCACCCAGUGCUCGGUAUCCCAUCAUGCCUGUCUAAAUAAACCCAGGCCCGUAACCUUCAGUGGCAGCUGGAAAAGCAGGUCCCGAGAAAGGAAGGAAACCCUGAAACGGCUCUGCAGGUAAGGCCCUUGCCCUCAAACCUGGAGAUCCGAGUUCAAUUCCCAGGACCCACACAGAGUAGAAGGAGCGAACCGAGUCCCACAAGUUGUUCUCUGAUUGCCACAUACGACCGCAAGUUGUCCAGUUGUCCUCUGACCUCUACACACACACACACACACACACACACACACACACACACACACACAC